rnacentral:rRNA from 1 species
UACAGAGGUGGCAAGCGUUGUUCGGAAUUACUGGGCGUAAAGGGCGCGUAGGCGGCCAUCUAAGUCAGACGUGAAAUCCCCCGGCUUAACCUGGGAACUGCGUCUGAUACUGGACGGCUUGAGUAUGGGAGAGGGAUGUAGAAUUCCAGGUGUAGCGGUGAAAUGCGUAGAGAUCGGGAGGAACACCGGCGGCGAAGGCGGCUGCCUGGACCAGUCCUGACGCUGAGGCGCGAAAGCUAGGGGAGCAAACAGG